rnacentral:rRNA from 1 species
CCUACGGGCGGCAGCAGUGAGGAAUAUUGGUCAAUGGACGGAAGUCUGAACCAGCCAUGCCGCGUGCAGGAAGACGGCUCUAUGAGUUGUAAACUGCUUUUGUACAAGGGUAAACCUGAAUACGUGUAUGCGGCUGAAAGUACCGUACGAAUAAGGAUCGGCUAACUCCGUGCCAGCAGCCGCGGUAAUACGGAGGAUGCAAGCGUUAUCCGGAUUUAUUGGGUUUAAAGGGUGCGUCGGCGGGUUGAUAAGGUAGCGGUGAAAGGUCCGCGCUCCACUCCGGACCUGCCUCUAAAACUGUUGGUCUAGAGUUUAGGUGCGGUAGGCGGAAUGUGUGGUGUAGCGGUGACAUGCUU